rnacentral:rRNA from 2 species
AAAUUGAAGAGUUUGAUCAUGGCUCAGAUUGAACGCUGGCGGCAGGCCUAACACAUGCAAGUCGAACGGUAACAGGAAGCAGCUUGCUGCUUUGCUGACGAGUGGCGGACGGGUGAGUAAUGUCUGGGAAACUGCCUGAUGGAGGGGGAUAACUACUGGAAACGGUGGCUAAUACCGCAUAACGUCGCAAGACCAAAGAGGGGGACCUUCGGGCCUCUUGCCAUCAGAUGUGCCCAGAUGGGAUUAGCUUGUUGGUGAGGUAACGGCUCACCAAGGCGACGAUCCCUAGCUGGUCUGAGAGGAUGACCAGCCACACUGGAACUGAGACACGGUCCAGACUCCUACGGGAGGCAGCAGUGGGGAAUAUUGCACAAUGGGCGCAAGCCUGAUGCAGCCAUGCCGCGUGUAUGAAGAAGGCCUUCGGGUUGUAAAGUAC